AUUGAACGCUGGCGGCAGGCCUAACACAUGCAAGUCGAGCGGUAGAGAGGUGCUUGCAUCUCUUGAGAGCGGCGGACGGGUGAGUAAUGCCUAGGAAUCUGCCUAGUGGUGGGGGAUAACGUUCGGAAACGGACGCUAAUACCGCAUACGUCCUACGGGAGAAAGCGGGGGAUCUUCGGACCUCGCGCCAUUAGAUGAGCCUAGGUCGGAUUAGCUAGUUGGUGAGGUAAUGGCUCACCAAGGCGACGAUCCGUAACUGGUCUGAGAGGAUGAUCAGUCACACUGGAACUGAGACACGGUCCAGACUCCUACGGGAGGCAGCAGUGGGGAAUAUUGGACAAUGGGCGAAAGCCUGAUCCAGCCAUGCCGCGUGUGUGGAAGAAGGGUCUUUCGGGAUUGUAAAGCACUUUAAGUUGGGAGG
rnacentral:rRNA from 1 species